AGCGGAGGAAACAUGUGGUUUAAUUCGAUGAUACGCGAGGAACCUUACCCGGGCUUGAAUUGCAGAGGAAGGAUUUGGAGACAAUGACGCCCUUCGGGGUCUCUGUGAAGGUGCUGCAUGGUUGUCGUCAGCUCGUGCCGUGAGGUGUCGGCUUAAGUGCCAUAACGAGCGCAACCCCUCUCCUUAGUUGCCAUCAGGUAAAGCUGGGCACUCUGGGGACACUGCCACCGUAAGGUGUGA
rnacentral:rRNA from 1 species